rnacentral:rRNA from 1 species
GGGUGCGAUCAUUUCAGCACUUAUGCAUCGGAUUCCAUCAAAACUUCGAAGUUAAGCGCUUGAGCGAGAAUAGUUCUAAGAUGGGUUUAUUUUAUGACUUUCAUAGACACAGGCU